rnacentral:tRNA from 1 species
ACCUGGCUGGCUCAGUUGGGGGAGCAUUUGACUCCUGAUCUUGGGGUGAUGAGUUCGAGCCCCAUGUUGGGUG